rnacentral:lncRNA from 1 species
CACAGACUGUGUGGGACACUGUCGAGAGCAGCGUAGAGGUGCUUUGAAAUAAUAGGCGUGUCUGACACACGUCUCAAUUCUUACCGAAAUCGAUACGCGUUUCCCUCCGCAUGGUCUGAUAUCCAACACUCUCCACAGAAGGUAGGAUUCAGAACCCGAUUCAGUAUGUGACCUAGAGUGCCCAGGCAGGAAAGUGUAGCGCCACAGCGUGCGAGUGGGGUCGAGGUGCUUUGAAAUAAUCGGCGUGUCCGACACACGUCUCAAUUCCUACCGAAAUCGAUACGCGUUUCCCUCCGCAUGGUCUGAUAUCCAACAGUCUCCACAGAAGGUAGGAUUCAGAACCCGAUUCAGUAUGUGACCUAGAGUGCCCAGGCAGGAAAGUGUAGCGCCACAGCGUGCGAGUGAGGUCGAGGUGCUUUGAAAUAAUAGGCGUGUCUGACACACGUCUCUUUUCUUACCGAAAAUCGAUACGCGUUUCCCUCCGCAUGGUCUGAUAUCCAACAGUCUCCACAGAAGGUAGGAUUCAGAGCUCGAUUCAGUAUGUGACCUAGAGUGCCCAGGCAGGAAAGUGUAGCGCCACAGCGUGCGAGUGGGGUCGAGGUGCUUUGAAAUAAUCGGCGUGUCCGACACACGUCUCUUUUCUUACCGAAAAUCGAUACGCGUUUCCCUCCGCAUGGUCUGAUAUCCAACAGUCUCCACAGAAGGUAGGAUUCAGAGCUCGAUUCAGUGUAUAACCUGGAGGGUGUCUGGGCCCGGCAGCAUAGUUUAUUUUUGAUGAGCCGUGAAAAAGCACAGUGUGUUAGCUGAGGGAGUCCUGCUUUGUCUGAGGCUGUUGAGCGUUCGCGCUGCUCCUGGAGGUGUUCGCCCACGUCCCGAAUCCCUGUUCUGCUGCAUAUGCAUGCGUAGAUACACACACGUGCGCUCGUGUUGAAACGCAAGCAUAACAUGGAGACUUGCUUUCCUUUGGGGAUGUGACACACCCACAGGAGUUGGUUGCUGCGCCUGUCUGAAUCGCUGCUCGACAGGCCAAUUAAGAGAGUUCGAGAUCGACCGAGACGGUCACUCCUCGAUCUGUCCCUCUCUCUCUGUUUUUCCGUUGCGAUGCGCCCUCCUGCGUCGUGCGGGAGCAGAGCUUGUUCGGCGACAGACGGGUUUGGCCGAUACGGAAAUUGAGGGGACGUGAUUUGAAUGACUUCACUUAGCCCACGUUCUGCGCGGGUGUGACCUCCCCUCGGAAACGCUGCUCCAACUUACUGGUGCAGAAAGAAUUGCAAAAUGCAGCGGGUGUUUGGAACUUGCCCAAGCCGCUGUCCGGACAUCCAUGUUUCUCCAUCCGUCGUGUUCGUUUGAUCCCUUUUGUUGGCUCUACGCUAGGAUGCAGGCUCAUUUGGGGCAGUCGAUGAGCGUACAAGUCGCAAGGAGGGGUGCAAAUAGCUUCACUGUUCGAUGUGUCGUGUACAAUAAAAUCAUUUCCGCAUCGUUGCGCCUAUGGCAUGGUUACAAUCCGGGAGACACCUCACUGGGUCUCUCUCUUCUGCGCUUGUGGCUCUAUCGCUGAGGCGACCUCGAAAUGCCGUUGUACAAUUACACGCCCGUUCCGCUCUUUUCUCGCAAGUCAUAACCGUGCAUUCUGUUGUGGUCUGUUGUUCCACGUUAUAUCGGAAAAGAUGGCCAUCUGCGGAAGGAGGCAAAACGGAGGGAGAGAGCGAAGGUUUCGACACUGCCUUUCCAACGUGUGUACGGAACCCUCGUCUUCGCCUUCCGCUUCCUCCUGUGUUUUCCCUAUUUGUCAUCUUGCAUCCUUUACGGCUCUGUAUAUUUUCAUGUUCUUGGCUACGGCAUUCACCAUCCAUCAUUUCACAGGCAUAUGCCCACUGCACGCCCAUCUCGACAUGGCUUGCUUGCCACUCCGCAGAUUCUUCCGUCGUUCUGUGUCUGCUUGUGUGGACAAGAAGUUCCGUUCCGGUUUGUUUUGUCGCAUUCAAUCUAUCACCAUCCGAG